AGUCAACAUGAGGAAAUUCCUGUGGUCUUCUACAGUCUAUAUGAGAAAAUAUGAAUGAAGGUCUUACACAAAUGCUCAGUGAUGGCCUGACGUUGACCAAUAGCUUGACCUGAUGCCGCUGAAAGAGGAGUGUCAAGAAUUUAAUAAAAAGGAAGAACAAAAUCUGUAUGAAAAUAUUGAUUUCACAACUGGAGAAAAACCUUCUGGUUGCUCACUGACUGAAAAGACAUCCACACAAAAUAGAAGUCGCUCCUGCAUUCAGUGUGGAAAGUUUUUCUCUAGCCAUAAAACUCUUGAUGUCCAUAUGAGAAUUCACAAAGGAGAGAAGCCUUUUACAUGCAAACAGUGUGGAAG